rnacentral:rRNA from 1 species
AGCGAACGCUGGCGGCAGGCUUAACACAUGCAAGUCGAGCGGGCGUAGCAAUACGUCAGCGGCAGACGGGUGAGUAACGCGUGGGAACGUACCUUUUGGUUCGGAACAACACAGGGAAACUUGUGCUAAUACCGGAUAAGCCCUUACGGGGAAAGAUUUAUCGCCGAAAGAUCGGCCCGCGUCUGAUUAGCUAGUUGGUGAGGUAAUGGCUCACCAAGGCGACGAUCAGUAGCUGGUCUGAGAGGAUGAUCAGCCACAUUGGGACUGAGACACGGCCGAAACUCCUACGGGAGGCAGCAGUGGGGAAUAUUGGACAAUGGGCGCAAGCCUGAUCCAGCCAUGCCGCGUGAGUGAUGAAGGCCCUAGGGUUGUAAAGCUCUUUUGUGCGGGAAGAUAAUGACGGUACCGCAAGAAUAAGCCCCGGCUAACUUCGUGCCAGCCGCCGCGGUAACAC